AUGCAGAUUCCUCUCAUUCUUUCCCAUCAGCCUGAGGCGCCGAGGCUCCGCACUGAACCGCUAACUGGGAGGACCUGCACCAGGAGGAGCAGGAGGACCUGGACCAGGAGGAGCAGGAGGACCUGCACCAGGAGGAGCAGGAGGACCUGGACCCAGGAAGAGCAGGAGGACCUGCACCAGGAGCAGGAGGACCUGCACCAGGAGGAGCAGGAGGACCUGCAUCAGGAGCAGGAGGACCUGGACCCAGGAGGAGCAGGAGGACCUGGGCCCAGGAGGAGCAGGAGGACCUGCACCAGGAGGAGCAGGAGGACCUGCACCCAGGAGCAGCAGGACCUGCACCAGGAGGAGCAGGAGGACCUGCACCAGGAGGAGCAGGAGGACCUGCACCAGGAGCAGGAGGACCUGCACCAGGAGGAGCAGGAGGACCUGCACCAGGAGGAGCAGGAGGACCUGGACCCAGGAGGAGCAGGAGGACCUGCACCAGGAGGAGCAGGAGGACCUGCACCAGGAGCAGGAGGACCUGGACCCAGGAGGAGCAGGAGGACCUGGGCCCAGGAGGAGCAGGAGGACCUGGGCCCAGGAGGAGCGGGAGGACCUGCACCCAGGAGCAGGAGGACCUGCACCCAGGAGCAGGAGGACCUGCACCCAGGAGGAGCAGGAGGACCUGGACCAGGAGGAGCAGGAGGACCUGCACCAGGAGGAGCAGGAGGACCUGGGCCCAGGAGGAGCAGGAGGACCUGGGCCCAGGAGGAGCAGGAGGACCUGGGCCCAGGAGGAGCAGGAGGACCUGCACCAGGAGCAGGAGGACCUGCACCAGGAGGAGCAGGAGGACCUGCACCAGGAGCAGGAGGACCUGCACCAGGAGGAGCAGGAGGACCUGCACCCGCUGGACCGGCUUCGUCACUGCUGCAGGCUGUGGCUGACAGACCCACGUGUGGAGCACAGGUUGUAGACGCUCUUACCUCACGGUCACCGCUGUCUGUCUCGUGCUUGUUCUCCAAAGAACCCACCUGGAACACACAAACAGGAGCACAGGUCAGACCCACCAAAUCGCUCAGAUGA
rnacentral:lncRNA from 1 species